UACGUAGGGCGCAAGCGUUAUCCGGAAUUAUUGGGCGUAAAGAGCUCGUAGGCGGUUUGUCGCGUCGGGAGUGAAAUCAUCUGGCUUAACUGGGUGCUUGCUUUCGAUACGGGCAGACUAGAGGUAUGCAGGGGAGAACGGAAUUCCUGGUGUAGCGGUGAGAUGCGCAGAUAUCAGGAGGGACACCGGUGGCGAAGGCGGUUCUCUGGGCAUGACCUGACGCUGAGGAGCGAAAGCGUGGGGAGCGAACAGG
rnacentral:rRNA from 1 species